rnacentral:lncRNA from 1 species
UGGCACCACUCUAUCCUCAUUCACCCUUAGUUAUGGCUGAGCCAUGCCAGGGAGACAGGGAGGUUCCCAUCAUCAGACAACAGGGCUUGAGCACACUGAUGGAGUAACAAAUAUUACAUCUUAGCAAUGCACACAACCAAGAAGAAGAGGACAUAAACCCUUUUACUAUCUUUUUCACUUUGGAUCUGAAAAUACAUUUUUCUAUAUAUGAUUUAAAGAUCCUAAACACUACCUAGCCCAGAGAAGGAAAUUUCCCUAAUUUUUAAAAAUCCUAAAUUCUUUUUAAUUUCUUUAUAAGGUUAUAUAUGACCUAAUCACCAUAAGUUCUACAAUACAAGCCCAAGCACACCAACUAAAUAAAGGCUGCAGAGAAUGGAAUCUCCUAUCAAAACAGGAACACUCGAUAUUAUAACUUAGUUUUAAUCUUAAAUCAACCAAAACACCCUGAACCUUCCAAUAAUACCUAUUAAAAGAAGCUACAUUAGCAAGUCUUUAGUUCAGCUAAAAGAUCAUUUUGUAUCACCCUGCUUUCCUCAUAACUAGUUUUUUUAAAAUGAUCAAUUCCUUUCAGGAUGUAGAUUUCCCCGCAACCCCCUUUCUUUAUCAUAAGAGAUAAGAAAAUUGUGUCAAAGCCAGAGAUUAUACUCAAGAAGACUUUUAGAACUGAGAAAAAUACAAAUAAAGUAAUCAGAACCCUAAGUUGGUAAUCCAGGCACGCUUAGAAUUAUAGGCACCAGAAGAAUGGAGCACUUUGAUCAUGUAUCUUUAGAAGUCUCAACUUGCUAUAGAAAGAAUUAUCUAACUCACUGGUAAACAGGCUCUUCUUCCCUGUAACCAUUUCACUCAUAUAUUCUUGGGGAUUGAAUUGCGUCCCCAAAAAAGAUAAGUCCCACCUCCCGGUAUUUCUGAAUGUGAGCUUAUUUGGAAAUAGGGCUUCUGCAGAUGUAAUCAAGUUAAAAUGAAGUCACUAGGGUGGACCCUAAUCCAAAAUGACAGGUGUUCUUACAGGAAGAGAAGAAACAGAGACAGACUCACAGGGAGAGCACAUGGGAUGACAGAGACAGAGAUAGGAGUGCAGAAGCAGCAAGCCAAGGAAGUUCUGGAUUGACAUUGAUGCCCCCACCAGAUGCCAGGGAGAGGCAAGGAGGGACUUUACCCAGAUCUCAGUGAGUGCAAGGCCCUGCUGACAGCUUGGUUUUGGACUUCUGGCCUCCAGAACUGUGAAACAGUACAUUCCUGUUGUUUUCAGUCACAUAGUUGGUGGCACUUUGUUAUAGCAGCCCUAGAAAAUGAAUAUACCUGCCUAAGAGAAAAUAACUUUGAAGGCAGAUUUAAAUUCUUCAUAAGUGAAUUGAUUAUACAUGGAUUAAGGCUUUACAAAUAUUAUACUAUCACCAACUAAAACUCUCAUUCAUUCUGACCUGAGGUCCACCACGGACAGCUCACCUUUCUGCUCCGACACCUGAAUGCUUGCAGUCUGACAGUCACAAUGCUCAACAGUUGACACGUAUUGUUCCACCUAAUCCUUACAGUAGCACUCUAAGAUAUGCAUUAUUUUCCCUGUUUUGCAGGUUUAAAAAAAAAUGAGGGUUGGAGAGGUUAAACAAGUAACUUGCCCCAGGUCAUAAAGCCAGUUUGCUUAUUGGCUGGGGCUCUGCUGGGCUCAACAGGAAUGCACUGGCAUCUGCUGGGAUUGACUGAACUUGGAUCCAAGCUGCGGGUCAGGUUCCAGUCUGCUGUGUCUCCUCCAUCUGGGGCUGCAGAAAAAGCCUCUCUCAAGGUGAGGAAACACCAAGAACGUGCCAUCUAUGAACCCUCACCAGACACUGAAUCUGCCAGAGCUUUGAUCUUGCAUUUCGCAGCCUCCAGAACUGUGAGAAACAAAUUUGUGUUAUUUAUAAGCCACCGGGCCUCGGGUAUUUUGUUAUAAUGGUCUGAACCAACUAAGAUACCAUAGAACAGUGUCCAUUGGGGUUUAUACCUUAUGAAACCAUGUCACAAUUUUUAAAGAUGUUUGAGGUGGAAGGCUCAGCUCAGUCAGUUAUCAAUGUCCCAGAAAACAGACAUGCAAAUGUAUGAAUCUCAGGUAGGCUAGCACAGGAGGGG